AUGGCCUCCAUGUUCGCCGUCGGCCUCCACUUUGCUCCGGCGAACCAGAGCCCCUCCCCCUCUCCUUCGACCGCCAGGAGAGCCUCCGCUAGGCUACGGAGCUCCCCCGCUCCUCUCCGCCUCGUCCCAUGCCUCGUGGUGCCGGUGUCGCUAACGCCUGAUGGGGCCAUCCAACACGACCGUCGCCGGAUGCGCUCCGGCCAUCCCCUGCCGUCUCCGAGGGCUCCCCCUGAUGCGCCUCUUCCCGGCGGCCCCUCCGCUGGCCGGAGCUUGGCCGGGGGUGGCCUGUGCCGCCGGGGGCAAGCGCCAGCUGGUGCUCAGCCACGGCCUCGAUCCCCUCUGUCGCGGGCGCAAGAGGAAGGAGACGAGCCUGCGGGUGGGCCCCACGGGUCAGCGAUUCAGACGGCGGGCCCCAACGUUUAA
rnacentral:rRNA from 1 species